GUCAUUGUCAAGAGAAUACUGACCUUGCCUAGGGUCUGGGCAGGCAAAGCCGGCAGGGCAGAACAAGCAACCCUCCAGAGGCGAUGUUGAAGGAGACCUCCCCCUGACCCUACACUGUUUCACCAUACCUGUCCACCCAAGGACAACCCA